rnacentral:rRNA from 1 species
GAUGAACGCUGGCGGCGUGCCUAAUACAUGCAAGUCGAGCGAAUGGAUUAAGGGCUUGCUCUUAUGAAGUUAGCGGCGGACGGGUGAGUAACACGUGGGUAACCUGCCCAUAAGACUGGGAUAACUCCGGGAAACCGGGGCUAAUACCGGAUAACAUUUUGAACCGCAUGGUUCGAAAUUGAAAGGCGGCUUCGGCUGUCACUUAUGGAUGGACCCGCGUCGCAUUAGCUAGUUGGUGAGGUAACGGCUCACCAAGGCAACGAUGCGUAGCCGACCUGAGAGGGUGAUCGGCCACACUGGGACUGAGACACGGCCCAGACUCCUACGGGAGGCAGCAGUAGGGAAUCUUCCGCAAUGGACGAAAGUCUGACGGAGCAACGCCGCGUGAGCGAUGAAGGCUUUCGGGUCGUAAAACUCUGUUGUUAGGGAAGAACAAGUGCUAGUUGAAUAAGCUGACACCUUGACGGUACCUAACCAGAAAGCCACGGCUAACUACGUGCCAGCCGCCGCAGUAA